AUUGAACGCUGGCGGCAGGCCUAACACAUGCAAGUCGAGCGAGCGGCGGACGGGUGAGUAAUGUAUGGGGAUCUGCCCGUUAGAGGGGGAUAACUACUGGCAACGGUGGCUAAUACCGUAUACUAUAGGAUGAACCCAUAGGGGAUUAACUAGUAGGUGGGGUAAAGGCACAACUAGGCGACGAUCUCUAGCUGGUCUGAGAGGAUGAUCAGCCACACUGGGAAUGAGACACGGCCCAGACUCAUACGGGAGGCAGCAGUGGGGAAUAUUGAAAAAUGGGCACAAUACUGAUGAAACCAUGCCGCGUGUGUGAAGAAGGCCUUAGGGUUGUAAAAAACUUUCAGCUGGGAGGCGUUACCCGCAGAAGAAGCACCGGCUAACUCCGUGCCAGCAGCCGCGGUAAUUC
rnacentral:rRNA from 1 species